AGGGGUGAGAACGAGGGUUGAGGAGGACGAGGCAAUGGGUGAGGAGGACGAGGUGAUGGGUGAGGACGAGGUGAGGAGAGCGAGGGGUUAGAGAAGGACGAGGUGAGGGUGAGGAGGAUGAGCUAAGGGGUAAAGAUGACGAGGCAAGGGGUAAAGAUGACGAGGCGAGGACGAGGUGAGGGGUGAGGAGGACGAAGUGAGGUGUGAGGAAUACGAGCUGAGGGAUGAGAAGGACGAGGUGAGGGGUGAGGAGGACGAGGCGACCCGAGCUCGAGUCCCGCUUACAGCCACCAUCACCACUGCGUCCUGGAUCUCGAGAGGUCGGUUCAGCCUUAAAUUAGUAUCUGGUACGAUGCGUACACAUCGCAACUCGGGAGAAAAAGGCAGCUGAGGGUGGUCCCGGCCACCCACACAGAACAUUUGUGAAACCCAGAGAUUAUGCGUGAAACACGUGCAGAUCAUUAGAAAAACAGGCAAAUAUCUUGUGUGAUAUCAAAUAUGGAUCAUGCGUAAAACACAUACCGAUCAUACGCAAGAAACACACACUCAGGCAAUGUAUGAAAACACACUCAUAUGCUGCUGUAGGAUACGUUGGUUCAGCAGAUGUACAGGGUGAUGGAUUACAAUGUUAAGUUUUUUUUAAAAUGGCGAUGAAGAAUAUUGUCCAUUCAUUUGCAGUCCAGCCGUACACUCAUUCAUUCACGUGCUAUCUUUUCGUCUAUGCAUCGGUCAAUCCGCAAGUCAAUUAUGCAAGAGGACUCAGUCCCCCCCUGCCCCGCCCCCCUCUGCAAGUAGUAGCAGCUCCCUGCACCACCCAGCUAACCCCACACUGCAUGCCGCGUUCUGCGCGAUGCCUCAAGUUCAAGGUCGUGUGGGUGACACAUUACCGUGGUGAUUAUUUGAAAUGUAACUUUUUAUUUUACCAGGUAAGUGAGCCAUAUAGCUCUUUUUAAGAAGCGAUCUGGUCACAAAUGUUAGUUUUAACGGAGUGGCUCAUCUUGUGGAAAUUUAUAGCAGUAAAAUACUCUAAACCAGGGGUCUCAAACUCGCGGCCCGCAGGCCAAUUGUGGCCCGCGGAACGAUAUUUUGUGGCCCACUAUUUGGCAUCAAUUAUUUAUUUAUUUAUUGUUAUUAUAUUUUUUUACCAUAGCUCAGGCUCGUGACAGCUUCCGGUGUUUGUUGACAAGUUAGCCAACGCGAAUUAGCAACGUUAGUCACUUGGUUGAAACGUGAUUCCGGAGUGACACCAAGUGGAAGGAAAAUAUAUCCUGUCACCCUGUGCAAGGUACAGAGGACUCAGGAAGUGGGCGGACUCAACAAGUGUAAUCAGUGACCUAAUAAAGACAACAGAGUGUUGCAAUAGGAAA